rnacentral:rRNA from 1 species
UACAGAGGUCCCAAGCGUUGUUCGGAUUCAUUGGGCGUAAAGGGUGCGUAGGUGGCAUGGUAAGUCGGAUGUGAAAUCCCGGGGCUCAACCCCGGAACUGCAUUCGAUACUGCUGAGCUAGAGUACUGGAGAGGAGAUUGGAAUUUACGGUGUAGCAGUGAAAUGCGUAGAUAUCGUAAGGAAGACCAGUGGCGAAGGCGGAUCUCUGGACAGUUACUGACACUGAGGCACGAAGGCCAGGGGAGCAAACGGG